rnacentral:rRNA from 1 species
GUGCCAGCCGCCGCGGUAAGACGAACCGUGCGAACGUUAUUCGGAAUCACUGGGCUUAAAGGGCGCGUAGGCGGGCCGAAAAGUCAGGGGUGAAAUCCUCCAGCCCAACUGGAGAAGCGCCUUUGGUACUGUCGGCCUCGAGGGGUGCAGGGGCAUGCGGAACUCAGGGUGGAGCGGUGAAAUGCGUAGAUAUCCUGAGGAACACCGGUGGCGAAAGCGGCGUGCUGGACACCUUCUGACGCUGAGGCGCGAAAGCCAGGGGAGCGAACGGGAUUAGAAACCCCAGUAGUCC